UUGCAGAACCGUGGGGAAGUGGCACUGAGGGACGUGGGCAGUGAGCACGGUGGUUGGGGGGUGGCGUUGGGGUUGUACUUGGUGACCUUUUCCAGCCUUAAUGGUUCUCUGAUUCUAAUUCCUCACCUGCUGGUGGCCCCGAUGGCCCCUUGUUUGCCUCUGGGGAGAGGAGAGGGCAGCAAAAAGCUGUCCAGAUCCACAGCCACAAACCUCGCUAAAUAUCAGGGACCUCACAAACAGCCCCCUGUGUCUCUUCACGGCACGGCGAAGGUGUUUAAAAUCUCAAUAUUUUUAUGCCAAUGCUCAUCGUAAAACCACAAGCUGCUUCUCAGUUUUGUUUUCUGCUGGCUUUGAUGAGACGAUUGGCAUCUCGCGGCUGAGCCGCGCGGCGAUGCUCGAGGCGCCCGGCUGUCGCGCCGUACCUGGGGACAUUUCAUUUCCCCAGCGCCCCGUGCCACCCCGCAGGGCCAGGGAUGUUGUUUCCUAUGUACUUCACGGCCGGGAUUUCCCACUCGCCCUCCCCCAGAAAGCUGCGUUUUGCUUCUCCCUGGGUUCCACUUUCAUUCGAUGCGCUGCAGCAGUGAAUAGCCCUCGACAUUUUGCUGCAGUGCUUUGCGUGUUAGGCUCUUUUUCAGCUUGCUUGUCGUGAAGGCAAUUGCUCACCCCCAUGGAAGUCCCAGGGUGGUUUUCCACAUGGCUCCUGCUGGGCAGCAGCAGCAGCCCCAUUCCUCCCCACAUCGCGUGCUGUGAAUUACAAAAGAACGAGAUGAGCUCGUUCCCAAGUGCAGGCUGUUUCCCCCCCCCCCCCCCCCCCCAGGCCCACCUCUGCCCAGAGCCACUGAAAAUGGCUGUUUGAAUCCGUCCGAAAUUCUGCUUUCUUCAAAUGUGGUCAGCUGCGCAGUAAAAGCGUUCCGUGCAGCCCACUUUCAGGACACUCUUUGGUGUUUCACUCUUUCCACAUGAGUCAAACUAGAAGGAUUUUGCAAACCUCACCGCAUGGGUGCCCUCCCCACUCGGAGCUGUGAAUACCAGCGUGGCUGGCGGGCCGGGCGGCCCAGCAGUGGAUGAGUCAAAGUACGCCGUGCUCCAACCCAGCCUCUUGUAGCCGCCUUUUGGCUCCCUGCUUCCAAGCAGGACGUGGGGAGCGCCGUGCGUGGGGACGAGGUCAAUGGGGCACAAGGCAGCCUGCUGCUCGGCUUCCAGCCCUCGGUGUGUGCUCCGCUCUGGGCUGGGAGCCCGGGACGUGGGUUUGUCCCACGCUGCCAUCCCUUACUGCUGAUAAAUAGAGGAAGGAUCAGCCCGAAAGGCGCCGUGCCGCGCGUAGUCACAGGAAGUGCAGACGGCGUCAGGAGACCCGCGGCACGCUUAUUUUUCACUCCGUUUCAGUGCAUAAAAGCCUGCUGGCGGGGGCUACCGGACCCCCCGGCACGGCCCACGUGUGCCAGGGAUGCGGGGCCGCCAGCGGGGGCCGGGGGGGCCGGGAGCUCGGCGCACGCGGUGCGGUGGUGGUGGGGUCCCCCCGCAGAGCCCCCCGGGACGGCAGGGCCGCACGGCACCCCUCAGCAGAGGGGCUGAAAUUGUGGCCGUCGCCCCUCGUCCAGAGCCGCCUCUGCCUCCAGCCCUUUCGCGGAAACCGUUGUGGGCUCGGGCGAGCGGGAGGCGGCGAGGCGGCGGCGGCAGGGCCAGGAAGGGGAGCGGGGUUUCGGCGUGUGUCAUGCCCCCCGCCCGCCGUGGGUGGCUGGGUGGAAAAACCCCGGCGACGGGCGGCCGUUCGGGGCACGGGGAUGGCUGGGAAUGCGGCCCCUCGCUCCCGCUGACUCCGUGCCACGUGGGGCCUGGCCAUGCUCCCUUCCUGCCCAGCACGGCAACGUUCGUUCAGCCAUGGGCAGCGGCACAAAAUGGUGCUGCUGAGCCCCUCUCCAGGCUGGCCGGUGGAUGCCGGGUGUGCAGCCCACGGGACGCGCUUGGCAGCGCGGCAACCGGCCCUCCCCGGCGUGACUUUCAUUUUAUUUUUAAAUACUUUGAUUCUGCGGUAUUAAUUUGCUUUUUGGUUUCGAUAUUAAUACUGAAUACGCGCCGGGUCGGCGGCGUUUGUUUUCGGUGGUAAAUAAGAGUUCAAGUGAUUUAAUGGCCGUGGCGCUGGGCUGGCGAGGCUGUGGGGGCAUUGCUGCGGCCUCGUGGGCUGCCCCAGCACCUCCUGCUCCCCCGAGACCCUAAGAGCAGCACAGGAAUGGGAUGCCUUGAGUUUUGGGGGAAAAGCACUGGGAAAUGGCGCCGUGCCGGCCCUGCCCGUGCCGUGGCAUCCAGAGGGGCUGCCGUGCCAAGCCGGAGCUGCCCACUGCCCACCUGCCCUCUGUGGAGAGCGGAUCCAAGCUGAGAGUGAUUUUGGGGUUAAAUCUGCCCUUUUUCUCGUUGUGCCGCAGCCGGCCUCGUGCUGUAUUCGCCACUGUACUGUAGCUGAAAGGCUGCAAACAGUUUUGGGAACAAGAUGUCUGCCUAAAGCAUGACAGAAUUGGCCACAAAUUGCAGAUGAGACUGAUAACAAAAGCCAACAACAUAAAAUAUGUAGAAAAACAACGCGUUAAAGGCGACGAGACCACUGAAGGGCUUUUUUGUGUGUUUUCUAACCAGGUCUCUGGCGACAGGAGUGAAAACACACCAAGAGAGAAACAUCAGCUGCUCCCUUGUUAAUAUCUGACAACCAGAGGGGCACAGGCUGCAAUGCUGGGGGCUGCCAGCCCCUUCCCAUGCCCUUGGGCUCUGCUGGUGCUUUGGGGGGAGAUGGCACCUUGCUUUGCAGCCCAUCCCUGCUUUGGGCCGGUCGGUGCUGGGCACAGUGAUGCUUUUUAGGGGCUGUCUGCCAGCCUGCUUUCUCUCUGCAAAGACCUCAAUCUCACAGCAGCAUUUUCAUAGUGAAUAUAAUCGUUUCUGCCCCGUGGAGCAGAGCGAGGGGGAAAGCAAAACCUGGGCGCCGUGAUGCAGGAGGGUUUUUCAGCCUGGCAGCACAGCUACCUGCUGCAGGAGAGUUUCCUUUGUCUUAAUAAAUCAGGUUGAGCGCAGAAAUUAGGAUGAGGUUUUUGUUUUUGUUCUACUUAUUUAAUCUUUGUUUUUUAUAAAUAAAUACAAAUAACUCAAACUGAAACUUGAUGGCUUUGGUGAUAAUAAAAGAGCAGCCCUGGGGAAAUUUUCUUCAUUAACAUGUUCUUUCACAGCCCACACUCGGGUUUCGGUAGGAAAACUGCUUAACCUUUUCAGCAGCAGCAGCAGCAGGCGCUUUUUAAAGCCCAGAAGCACUGAAACACGGCGUUCGUGGCUCGAAGCUGGCUGUGCAUCGCUGGGGCUUCGCUCUGAUUUGGGGUGUGUAAGGAGGGCACAAGCCCUGCUGCCUCCACACACCGCUCCCGCAUCCCUGCAGCACCAGCGGGUUUUUUGAAUCCCCUUGCUGUUUUCCAUAACAAAAAAAAGGGCUGUGAGAAACCAAAGCUGCUCUCGCCACACGCUGCAUUGCGUUGCUCGGUUUCUGUGGCUUUUCUCCUUUUUCCCUGCCUAUCAGUGCCGUGCAUAUGGAUGGGAUGCAGGCGAGCCGAGCAUCACCCUGGGGCCAGGUUUGGGUUUUGUCUCUCCAGAUCCUGCUCAGGGCAUGCAGGAGCACAGUGCCAGCAAUGGGUUGCUGUCCCAGCCCUGUGUCUGUAUUUCUGGGGGGUGAGUGUGAGCCUGGCACCCCUACUCCAUUAGCUCUGGGAGCAGCCCUUAUUCCCAGCCACCUUUUUCCUUUUCCCAUGCCAACUGCUUUCUCUGGGCAGCAAAACAAAACAAAACAAAACAAAAAAAAACAAAAACAAAUCCACGAGAGAGUUUGCAAAAUAUUUUAAAAUUUCUUUUCUUUUCUUUUCUUUUCUUUUCUUUUCUUUUCUUUUCUUUUCUUUUCUUUUCUUUUCUUUUCUUUUCUUUUCUUUUCUUUUCUUUUCUUUUCUUUUCUUUUCUUUUCUUUUCUUUUCUUUUCUCUUCUCUUCUCUUCUCUUCUCUUCUCUUCUCUUCUCUUCUCUUCUCUUCUCUUCUCUUCUCUUCUCUUCUCUUCUCUUCUCUUCUCUUCUCUUCUCUUCUCUUCUCUUCUCUUCUCUUCUCUUCUCUUCUUCUCUUCUUCUUUCUUUUUUUGCAGGGCAGAUCUAUGCUCUACCAGCUCCCUUAACACCAUACGAGUUUUUAGUAUUUGCAGCUCACUUCCUGUAUGAGGUUAGUUUGUUUAUCAUAAAAACCUAUUUUUAAACCCAUUUCUGCCAAUAAGUAAUUUGAAUGCUGAUGCUCACUCGUUGUGUUCCCCGGCUGGCAGCAGGGCUCGGCAGCCACCUCACUCCCUGUCAGCACGGCGGUGGCACUCAGUAGGUUUUCUUGAGGGAUGCACCCAAGGAGAUGCCCUGAGCACAUCUGUUAGAGCCAGCACCGUGUUCGCACGUUCAGAUGAGGGCCUGCUCCCACAUCUGAUCUCUAAAACUGGUUUUAGUGAGAUUGGGGCAGCAGAGUUCCCCUUGGGCUUCCCUGCUUUCAACACACAGAUUUAAGCCAUCUUUUCUGAGCAACUGUGGAUAUUGGGUGCAUCCCUGUGCCGCCGAGACCGCUCUCCAUCACCUUCAGGCACCAUCAGCAGUCCACCACCUGAAUCCCAAGGUCGGGGCUAGACCCAGCAUUAACAACUGAGCUUAGGAACCCAUCUUUCGUCUGGGAGGCAUAAGGUUGUGUCCCUCUGCUCACAUUUUUGCAGCCGUCUCCUCGCCGCGAUGCCGCGACGCAGCCCCAUGACCCAGCGCUGGGCUGGGAGUCCCAAGGGAGCAGGGAGGAUGCGUGCUGCCAGCUUCUGUCUUGUGGAAAAAAAGCAAAGAAAUCCAACCCUUUAUUUUCACCUUUCUCCGAGCUGAGCCCAGCGCCAACACAGAUGUGCAAAGCGGAGCCAAUUAGAGCGGCAUCGGCAGCGCCGGUGCACGGCUGGGGAGGUGGCAUUUUGCUGCCUGCCAUGUCCUGCCCCCCUUCGGGAGCUGACAUAGCAUCACCUUCAAACAUUUUCUCCCUAAUUAAACCGAUGCCUUUGUCAAAAAGUUUCCAUUCGGUGUGUGAUGUCAGGAAUCACACCGAGAGAAAGCGUGGUUUAAUUAGCGGCAGCCCACGCGGCCGGGUAGCGAAGGCUCCCCCGUGCACUCCCGACAACAUUAAAAUAUGAGCCCAUCAAAAUACCAGGCAGGAGAAACUCCCACCCUAUUCCUUCAGUGCUGGUGGGAUUUGUGUGUCCUUGGGCUGAAGCUGCUCAGAAAUUUUGGCUCAGGACAGUGCUGCUGGGGAAAGCAGAGGAGCGUGAGCUAGGCGGCUUUCAUGCUGGCACUGGGACUCUCAGGAGGCCAGCGGUAGAAGGAAAUUGGUUUUGUCACACCAUACAGAUGCAGCCAGUCCCACCACAUCCGUGCAGAUCCAGGACCUGUUGGGAAAGUGCUGGGGAAGAUUGGGAAAUCCUGCCCAGUGGCCAGGGCUCUGGGAUGCCCGUCUGUGGCGGAGUCAGAGUGCCCAGCGCUCAAACAUCCUAGAACCCAUCAGAAAUGUCAGAAAACCCACUGGAAACAGUGACCUUUGUUGCAAUAUGAAAAUCAGAUGCAAAGCUGGGUGGGUAUUUUUAGCUGUUUUAGGCUGAACAGGUGUUUGAAAGGUCAGAUGCGAGUCAUUGGAAAAAAAUAUAGUGAGGGUAUGGCAGGAUGGCUGUGCCGCUCCCCUGGUGUUCGAUGGCCCUAAACGCUUUCAUCCUCAUUUCUGGGGCAUGGAGCUUGGGCCUCGCUUUGUAUUUGUUCUAUGGCACCCCAAGGAUGCUCAGCGCUGUACCUCCCACCUGCAUACGCUGUCUUUGGAAUGAGACUUUUGGCUUUAUCGGCUAAUAUAUGUAAAAAAAAGAAGAAAAUUCAUCCCAGGUAGAAAUCCAGCACAAAUCCAGCCAUAAUGAAACUGACUCUCAGAGUUCCUUAUUAACACAGAGCAGCUUGAUGCCGUAGUGUGAGGGUGCGGGCAGGAGGAGCCCCACAUCUGCCCAUCAAAAGGGUGGCGUUGGGUUGUUGUUCUCCACAUCACCACCUCCCACGAGGUUUAGAAGAGCUCCCUUCCUCGUAGCAUGGCCCACUGUUAUCCUCGGGGCUGUCAUUGGAUUUCCAUCGUCCCACAUCAACAAGAGGAGGUAUGCUGUGAGUAGGUUCAGCUGAAAGAGGUUAAGAGCAGAUCCACACGUGGCCAUGAGCCAUGCACGUGGCUUUUCACAUGAUCGAACUGUUGGGCGUUUGGUUUUUUUUGUUUUUUUGUGUUUUUUUUUUUCCUUUUCAAGGAAUAAAGGAAGUUUGUCAUCAUUCAAACAAACAGAAAAUGGAUGGUGGUUGUAAUUUGUCACUAAAGCAUUAUUUUGAGACCACAGGAAGAAAGAGCCAGUCUUUUGGAGAGGGACCAGACGACACGUCCUUGGUGGACUGGGAAAUGGUCAACCUGGGCUAUGGCCAGCUGGGACUGUUUGUGUCCAACCCAGGCCAUGGCCACCAUGGCAAGCCAGGAUGGGGCCAAUAUGGGCUGAGACUGCCAUGGGCCUGGCCAUAGCCUACUGAGAUGUGGCCACAGCCUUCCUGGGCCAGGCUGGUGGCCAUGGGCAGAAACCAGCUGGGACUCUCAUUACUGUGGGAUGCCACCAGGGAGCAUUUCCCUUCCCUGCUGUCUCACCGAGGUGGUGGAGUUCAGGCUGAGCUCCUUCCAAAAUAAGUCACAGCAAAGAAAAGAGGGAGAACCAUCAGCAAACAACCUGCCUGCACAGGUCACUCUGGCUUGGCCCUGUCUCCAGCUCAUGGCCAAAGGCCCUGUUAGUUAGCUUGCAAAACUCAUAGGAUUUUCCCCAGAAUGAGAGACAAGAUGUUGAUCCCAGAGGGGUCAGGGCUGUCCCCAAAAUCCUCCUCUAACAUCCCAGUCCCACCAUCCUCCUGAAUGGGACCAAAAAUCCCCAGGCUGAUGGUAUGGCCUUGGCUGGGCAAUACGGGCAUUGUUGAGUUAAAGCAGCCCCUAAAAUAGCACCUGAAACCUAUAAACUUCCCUUUCAAGAACUUCUGUAAUUUGAAACAAGCACAAGAAAAGAAAAACAAUCCAGAAAUUUUGUUGUUUGUCAAAGUCGGGGUGGGCUUCUGGUUUUCUUUAAUAUAUUUCAGCAGGAGCCUCUCACAGGGCAGGGGUUCCUGGGCACAUUUCUCUCUGAUUUGUUUCUUCCCCACUUUCUUCCUUCCUUUCAGCUGUCAGCAUCACAGUUCUGAGCCAAAGCAUCCCAGCAGUGUGCACUGAGCAGCAGGGAACUGUGGUGGUUAAAGACAGCCGCCCAAGAGCCCAGUGGGAUUGUGAGGAGAGGUUUUUGGAGAGUUGAAAAGAGGAGGAAGAUGAAGGGGAACAGCAAUAUCUUGGAGACGAUGGGUUGGCGGUUGGAGUGGAUCGUGGUAGUGGUCUCUCCAACCUUAUUAUUCUAUGAUAUUCAAAAUCAGGUAUUUACAGUGACCAACUGGGAGGCGUAACGCGUGGCGUGGGACCAUCCAGCACAACGGGGGCUCUCUGCAACCACUGAACUUCAUGGAAUCGUUUUGGCAGAACAGAGAGCACUGGUGACGUGGGCUCAGAACGACCCAAAGCCAUCGGUGAGCACUGCUAAAGCUGAUUUAAAACCAUCAUUCUUCUUUUUCUGGACAUUAAAAACAAUAAAACCACCAAAAUUAAACAAUUCUCACAACCCUACAGGGACGAAGCCUGGUUUUCUUUUUUGGAGCUACGUUUUCCUCUGUCUGCAUUCUGGCUGGGAAAGCUGGAUGUGGAGCAGCCCAAGCCAGAUGGUGCCAAUCCCUUGCGUUCUUCCCCUUCUUUUUUUCUGCCUAGCAUAGAGCCAGGAGGACAGGGCAAAGUGCUGGGUGCUGGCCACCCUUCUUUGGUGUGCUCCAAGGGACGCAGGACCAGAAAAGCUAAAAUUGCUCCAUUCUCCUUCUAACGAGUGCAAUCAGGGGCAGGCAGCCCCACGCCAACGGGUCAUCGCCUCCCAGCUGGUGCAAAGAGGUCAGACUGUACACAGCUCUUCUAACACAGGAACACUGAUCUCCACACAGCGGCACGCAGGACAGUUUCUCCUGACGUGCAUAUUGCAAUGCGGUAGGAAAAACCGCUACCAUAGGGCCGGGUUUGCUGCUGCUGCUGCUGCUGCUUCUCCGGUGCUGGUGAAACCAGAACUAACUGCAGCAUUUGGAAGGUGAUUUUAGGACCAUCCGCACCAGCUGGAGGAAAGGGGACAGUUUUGAAGGUGAGAGGAGUUACGUUUGUGCAUAGAAACGCAGGCGGUCGAAGCAACGACGCGCCCCAAAAAGCACCGGCUGUGCAGAAGCCUCCUGUGCGAGAUGAACCAGAGAUGAUGGCAGGGUCUCCGUUGGCUGGGACACCACACACCCAUGUGGUGAGCUUCUAGAGCCACGUGGCAGGGUCUCCAGAAGGGAGGAGAGAAAGGGCAUCGUCCUGGGACUUCAAACACCUGCUGAGGUCUUCCCAGGUGGAAGGAGGAGAUGUGCCACAAGAAGACCUGCCCAAGGCUAGCAGGGUGCAGACCCCACGCUCUGUGAUGAGUUGUUACCAUCCAAACAGCGUGCACAAGCAAGUCUGCGUCCUUCAGCACUGCACGGCCCUUCAUUCAGCUGGAUUCCAUCACAGGAACCUUCAGGGUCUUCAUCCCCUCGCUCCUCGCCUGCAGACUUCUCCCAUAGCCCUGGUCCAGUCCAAACAGAGGAUCCCAGAAAACAUCCAGUGUGCCAAAAACCCUCUUGGGUUUAACAGCAACACGCUAACCAUGCCUUUAGAACAGUUCCUGGAGUCGCACAGCAGGAACCUGUCACGGGGUGCAAAACUGCAAUGGUUUGGGAACUGUUUUAACCUGCCUCCAAGGACAUCUUAUUGCUGAAUUACUCAGUCACUGAUAUUAUAUAUUAUAAUAUUAUACAAUACGUAAGCAUUUUCACACGUCUUAUAGAAAGAAUUUCUAAAAAGGCAACCUGGUGGAUUGUUUUUGUUUGUUUGUUUGGUUGGUUGGUUGGUUGUGAUAUUUUGGACCCUGGGAAUCUGACAGCUAAGUCUUGAAAUUCAGAACUUAAAAUAAAAGUUGGGAAGAAAAAAAAAAAAACAAAAAA